UUGCGUACGAAGGGUACAAAGUACCCGCGACGAAGUUGUACCGUUGCUCGCGAGUACGGUUACAACCUAUUCUCAAACUUUAAAUGGGUGAGAUCUUUGACUUUCUUGAACUAUGAAGUCACGAGUAUCUCGGAUCAGAGUGCCAAGUGGGCCAUUUUUGGUAAGCAGAACUGGCGCUGUGGGAUGAAACAAACGCAGAGUUAAGGCGCCCAACUCGACGCUCAUGGGAUACCAUGAAAGGCGUUGGUUGCUUAAGACAGCAGGACGG
rnacentral:ncRNA from 1 species